GUGCUAUCUUCAACAGCACAUAGACUAAAACUGAAAUGAUUCAGAGAAGAUUAGCAAGGCCCAUGAGCCACAGAGGUGACAUCCUGAACAAUUUA
rnacentral:snRNA from 1 species